rnacentral:rRNA from 1 species
UGGGGGAUAUUGCACAAUGGGCGAAAGCCUGAUGCAGCGACGCCGCGUGGGGGAUGAAGGCUUUCGGGUUGUAAACCUCUUUCGCUAUCGAACAAGGCCCGCUUAGGGUGGGUUGAGGGUAGGUGGAGAAGAAGCGCCGGCUAACUACGUGCCAGCAGCCGCGGUAAUACGUAGGGCGCGAGCGUUGUCCGGAAUUAUUGGGCGUAAAGGGCUUGUAGGCGGCUUGUUGCGCCUGCUGUGAAAACGCGGGGCUUAACUUCGCGCGUGCAGUGGGUACGGGCAGGCUUGAGUGUGGUAGGGGUGACUGGAAUUCCAGGUGUAGCGGUGGAAUGCGCAGAUAUCUGGAGGAACACCGAUGGCGAAGGCAGGUCACUGGGCUAUUACUGACGCUGAGGAGCGAAAGCAUGGGUAGCGAACAGG